rnacentral:rRNA from 1 species
GACGAACGCUGGCGGCGUGCUUAACACAUGCAAGUCGAGCGGUAAGGCCCUUGUGGGGGUACGACGAGCGGCGAACGGGUGAGUAACACGUGGGUGACCUGCCCUCAGCUCUGGGAUAAGCCUGGGAAACUGGGUCUAAUACUGGAUAUGACCUUUCCUCGCAUGGGGUUGGGUGGAAAGUUUUCGGCUGGGGAGUGGGCCCGCGGCCUAUCAGCUUGUUGGUGGGGUGAUGGCCUACCAAGGCGACGACGGGUAGCCGGCCUGAGA